CAUUGCCACAUUCUGAGUUCAAAUUCCACUGAGUUCGACUUUGCUUUUUAUUAAGUACUGAGGACGAUGUAAUUGACUACCCUCCUCAUCCCAAAUUUCCUGCCUCGUGCCUAUGUUAGAAAGGAUUAAUAAAGUGAAUUGGCAGAGUCAUUAGCACACCAGCCAAAAUGCUUAGUGGUAUUUCAUCCGUCUUUAUGUCCUGAGUUCAAAUUCCACUGAGGUCGACUUUGUUCUUCAGCCUUGGAGGGAUGGAUGAUAUAGGUACCAGUUGAAUGCUGGUGUCAAUGUAAUUAACUUAGUCCUUUCCCCUGAAAUUGCUGGCCUUGUGCCAAAAUUUGAAACCAUUAUUUUCAGAGAGGAGAGCAGAAGUGUGAGGAGUAUUUUUAUUGUUUCUUUAUUUGAUAUUAUUUCCUGCCUCCCCCACCAAACACACCACUCCACCAAACACUUUUUUAUCUGUCCCUUUGUUCCCACCUUUUUUUUUUUUUUUACACCAGUUCCAGUCCUCCCUUAGAACACCAGAUAUUUCCCAGCUGAGUGGGCCUCUUUUGUGUCCCUUAAAUCCCUAUUACCAGCCAUGGGAAAAUGUGAUAAUGAUAGGGGAUUUACUUUUUUUUAAAGAACAUCACAACUAUUUGGGAAAUGCUUAAAAUGUGGGAUAAAAAUAAAUAAAUAAAUAAAUA